GCCGACCCCUGUCCUAUGCUAUGACUGGUUGCGGACUUGAAGGGAACGCCUUCCUGACAUCCAGGAAAAAGAGGCAGUAGAGAUCUACUGGAAACAGUGGAGAGGGAGGAGAUGAUAUGCAGCAAAAGGCCCAGCCGGAUGGUUACUGCUCCGUGCGGAACGUGUUCUAUCAGGUGUAACAUCUACCAAUGGUUGUACAUGAGAGAGACCUCCUCCACAUCUUUGCUGUCUUGCUAGUCAAUCCUUCUGAUCAGGUCAUUUCCUAAAUAGUGGUAAGUUUUACAGUUCAGUGUACGUUAAUUUAGCAACUUAAUGCUUUACCGCUGUUGAAUAAACCCUAUAUUGCUAGUCAUUUUAUUAAAACUACGAUUUGUAAACUUUUUGAUUCCAAUUA